GAUGAACGCUGGCGGCGUGCCUAAUACAUGCAAGUCGAGCGAACAGACGAGGAGCUUGCUCCUCUGACGUUAGCGGCGGACGGGUGAGUAACACGUGGAUAACCUACCUAUAAGACUGGGAUAACUUCGGGAAACCGGAGCUAAUACCGGAUAAUAUAUUGAACCGCAUGGUUCAAUAGUAAAAGACGGUUUUGCUGUCACUUAUAGAUGGAUCUGCGCCGCAUUAGCUAGUUGGUAAGGUAACGGCUUACCAAGGCAACGAUGCGUAGCCGACCUGGGAGGGUGAUCGGCCACACUGGAACUGAGACACGGUCCAGACUCCUACGGGAGGCAGCAGUAGGGAAUCUGCCGCAAUGGGCGAAAGCCUGACGGAGCAACGCCGCGUGAGUGAUGAAGGUCUUCGGAUCGUAAAACUCUGUUAUUAGGGAAGAACAAAUGUGUAAGUAACUAUGCACGUCUUGACGGUACCUAAUCAGAAAGCCACGGCUAACUACGUG
rnacentral:rRNA from 1 species